GUGUUGUUGUAGGGAUUGUUGUUGUUCUGGUGGCUGCAGCAGCUGCUGGUGUGAUUUCUUGUUGCCACAAGAUCGCUGAAAUACCGGAGACAGUGUCAGGGAUGGAGGGAGACGAUGUCAAACUAAACACUGGUGUUACUAAAAUACAGACAGGUGAUCUGAUAGAGUGGCAGUCUGGAAAUGAAGACUCUCUCAUAGCGCAAAUCAAAGGAGAGACCAGUGAGAUCACAACAUAUGAUGAUGUUCUUCAUGGGAUAUUCAGAGACAGACUGAAGCUGGACAAGAAGACUGGAUCUCUGACCAUCACAAACACCAGAAUUGAACACACUGGACCCUAUAAGUUACUGAUCAACAAUAAAUACAAGAGGACAUUUAUUGUUUAUAUCAGAGUGAAGUCACUGUCAGCGAAGGAGAAUGAUUCUGUCA